UCCUUUGAACAGCAGAUUUUAUUGUUUAAUAUUGAAAACUGUUAACAAUUAAAAACUGAUGUCACCCAACAAUGUGUUUAAAUAUUUUGUGUUUAUUCAAUGCAUUAUCUGCAUUGAGCCAAGUCACUUGCUGCUAACGUAUGUAAUAGACAGUGAGCUCAUUAUGUUUUGGAGCAGAGCUUUCAUUGUGGUGUUUCUCACAGAGCCAAAACAGUCAGUAUGACUGAAAAGAGUCACUAUCUCUAAAACGGAAGGAACUGGUUACACUUAACGUUGAGGGUAAGAAGUAUUUGCAAUGAACCAAGCACCUUCAGUGUACUGCCUGUUAGUCAUACCUCACCUUUUUCAGAUUGUCACACUCGUAUGUGUAGUUUUUGUACAACCAAUUUCAAUAUGCAUGAGAAUAUGUCAAAUGUAUGGCUUCCAAUGCACUACUGUUCAAUCCCUCUGGGUGUGUUUUUCGCUAUGCGUAGACAAUUUAGAUGUCUUUUUCUGUGACUGUUCUCGUGUUUGUGACCAUGUUGUCUUUUGAUACAGGGGUAUUCCUGCUCUGAUCAAUGAAUCUGCUUGUUACAAGCGGUAAUUGCUUCUUUAUUUAUAUCUCAAUUCCUUGUGUUUCAAAUACACCUGUUAAAAAGCUUAGCUCAUUCUGGAAGAAUUAUCUGCCUGUUAUCUUUUGCAAAGCCUUUCCUGCAUGAAAGUGGAAUAAUUUGGAUUUACUGUAAAUUCACAUUAUUUGUUAUCAUCAAACAAUGUAAAAAUAAAGCUGUUUUGUGGUGAAAAAAAUACAAAAAACAUGAAUUUAGACUUUCAAAGUUGUCUGUCUUUCACGCAUUUCAUGCAAUUAAAUACAUACUCGAUAAGAAAGUGCUUCAGCUUCUUAGGAACCUUAUGGUGUGUUUUGUUUCAUAAACACUAACUGCUGUUUGUAUUAUUUCUCCCACUGUUUCUUUGUGUUCGAGUAUAUUCUCUGGCCAAAGGAGACAUGUCUGUCCGUCAUCCUCCUGCCUGCCUCUGCUUUCAAAGGGACAAGAGCUCUUCAAGACCCUUUAAUCCAGGUCACUCCUAAAGGCAUGUUUAGAUCCAACACAAAGCAAAGCUGUAAUCUGAAAUGAACAGCCAGUUCAGAGGGCUGAUGCUUAGGGGAUUUGUUCCCAUUUCAUCUGUAGCAACACAAAAUGUCUUAAAGAUUUUUAAAGGGUUAGUUCUUCAUGAAGUAAAAAUCCUGCUGUCAUUUACUCACACUCACAUUUCAAAUCCAUGUGUUCAUCUUUGCAACACAAAUUUAGACAUUAGUAAUUAAUUAGUAUAAAUCAAAAUGAUACCUGUUCCUUAUAUAAAAUUCCAUACACACAAAACUGAUGCUUCAACAAAAUAAACGUGAACUAAUUAGUUUAAUUCAAGUUGUCUGAACAGGAUUAUUUUAGAAAAUAAACUGAUCAAAUGCAGGCUUUUAUUCACGCGUAAAGAUCACUCUAAACCAAACUCGGUCCUGGAGGGCCAGUGUCCUGCAUAUUUUAGUUCCAACCCCAACUAAACACACCUAAACCAGCGAAUCAAGCUCUUUCUAGGUGUACUAGAAACUUCCAAGCAGGUGUGUUAAAGAAACUGAACUGGAGCUAAACUGUGAUGGACACCGGCCCUCCAGGAUCGGGUUUGGACACCCUUGCUCUAAACCAGAGGUCUCAAACUCAGUUUCUGGAUGGCCACAGCUCUGCAUAGUUUAGUACCUGCUUAAUAGUCCAUAGUAGUCUUGAACACCCUAAUUAGUUGGAUCAGCUGUGUUUGAUUAGGGUUGGAGCAAAACUGUGCAGAGCUGCGGCCCUCCUGGAAUCGAGUUUGAGACCUAUGCUCUAAACAAUGUUCAAUUCUCAAAUUGAAUGAUGAAAGCUAAAGCAUGCUUGCUUGACAAGUGAGAACCAAUGAAGUUCAUUCUUCAGGCUCAUACAUCAUGUAAACCACUCAAAGCAUAUAUGUUUAAUGUUUUAAAGCAUCAGUAAUUGUGGCUGAAUAGACUUUGAAUGGAGUGACCGAUUACUGUUCUAAUAAAUCUAAAUAUUUAUUUGUGAUCUGAAGAUGAACAAAAGUUUUAUAUGUUCAGAAUGACAUGAGGGCUUAGUAAAUGAUGACAGAAUUUUCUUUUAGGUGUAAACAACUUUUUCGUAAUAUGAGCUGUAUGUGUUCUAUAGUCAUAUUAAAAAACAUAACUCCAGAAUGGGUUAUUAAACUGUCAGGAACCUAAUAUAAAAUAAUAUGGCUUUUUCCCCCUAAAUUACUAAACUAGAUAUCAUCAUUUUGUAUAAAAAAUGCAUUGUAUAUACAGGGUGAUUCAAAAAGAAUACCACAACUUUGAAAAUCUGUCUUUAAUCAAAGAAACCUGAUGGAACCUUGGAUAAUUAAUCAAUGGGAAAAGUACUUAAGUUUUUUACAAAACUUCAGAGCUUCCUCAAAUCAACGACAGAAAGAGCUUAGCUCUCCUUUUCUUCUUUGCAGAGUUCUCGAUUUUCAAAGUUGUGGUAUUCUUUUUGAAUCACCCUGUAUAUAUUGCGUGUGUAAUGCUGUAGAUAUGUCAAAAGUUAUACAGCAAUCACAUUUUGUUUUUCUCUUCAAGUCCUUUAUUUAUGCCAACAUUAUUAUUGGUUUGAUCACAGACUAAUCUGCCCAUAUUUAGUUUGGUGAAAAGCCUUGCUUUUAUUUUAAUCAUUGAUACAAACCACUAAGGUUUAUUCUUGGCCAGUUUCAUAUUCAAGUCUUAAAUGGACUAAUUUAGUCACCCUGCAUAUCCACUGAUGAUUGUGUGUUUCCUCAGGAUAUUUCUAGAACGUGUGUUUUCUGUGAUGUACCGCGAUACUGGUAUAUUUAUUCUUUUUAUUGUAGGUGCUGUCUGUUAAAGAAGACCGUUAAAGGAUAUCUCUUCUGGCAAAAAAAGGGUAAGUGCUAAAAUUUAUCCUACUCUCAUGGCCACAUGUGACUCCUAGUGUGAGAGAGAUCCCGAUGGCCAGCUGCUGUCCUACUCUAUUAUUCAAGUGCCUUUCAGGAGCUCGUCUGCUCAUCCACAUUUGGGGAAAAAUACCAACAUCUGUGCGCAGCAUAACAGUGUAUAGUUUGUGACAUUUUAAAACCAAAAUUGCUAAAUUUAUGUUUAAAAACAUCUGAAUGUUGUCUAGUUUGAUGUCAGUUUUACAUAGAAUACUAAAGAUGAUGUUACAGUGAGUAUUGCUGUUCAUGGUUAAUUGUCUGUAUGAAAACACAUCCAAAAAUAAAGAUAUGCAGAAGAAA